CAUACAAAACAGCAGAAUGAACCGAAGAUCACUCAAGAAUACAGGCAUUUGACUUCUCUAAGGAACACAGUAAAAUGUAUUACUCAUUUCUUUAAUUCAUCAGGAAGAUAAAAAAAAUUGUUAUAAAUCCAUUUGCAGAUUGUACGAGCAGUUGGUCUCUUGUUAGAUCCUGAGGCCUGAAAUGACACUUUCAAUGUCAGAGUCAUGCAAAAGAAGAAGCCCGAGGGAAAUACGUUUCAACAGGAGCCCAUAACAUUUGAGAUUGAAUGUUUGCAUAUAAGACAUCUAAAUCCAAACUCAAUGCCAAUUUCUGCUUUCAGAUACACAUUCACGGAGUCCUGCUACUAGGCACCGAGUGAAAUACCAUAGUAGGUUGGGAAAGUUGCUCUAAAAGGUUCUUAUAUUUACUUUUGGAAAAAAAAAA
rnacentral:lncRNA from 1 species